rnacentral:tRNA from 1 species
GCGGGAAUAGCUCAGUUGGUAGAGCACGACCUUGCCAAGGUCGGGGAGUUUAAAAGCAUUGGCGUA